rnacentral:tRNA from 1 species
UCGGGGAGUGGCGCAGGGGGAGCGCGCACGGUUCGGGUCCGUGAGGUCGCGGGUUCAAAUCCCGCCUCCCCGAU